rfam:Myotis davidii contig389, whole genome shotgun sequence.
GGCAGUUCUUGGUUGACACACUCUGGAAUUGGGUGCCCUCCUCUCUGGUACUGGGUUCAUCACCAGAGAACUGCA